UUAAGCGACUAAGCGUACACGGUGGAUGCCCUGGCAGUCAGAGGCGAUGAAGGACGUGCUAAUCUGCGAUAAGCGUCGGUAAGGUGAUAUGAACCGUUAUAACCGGCGAUUUCCGAAUGGGGAAACCCAGUGUGUUUCGACACACUAUCAUUAACUGAAUCCAUAGGUUAAUGAGGCGAACCGGGGGAACUGAAACAUCUAAGUACCCCGAGGAAAAGAAAUCAACCGAGAUUCCCCCAGUAGCGGCGAGCGAACGGGGAGGAGCCCAGAGCCUGAAUCAGUGUGUGUGUUAGUGGAAGCGUCUGGAAAGGCGCGCGAUACAGGGUGACAGCCCCGUACACAAAAAUGCACAUGCUGUGAGCUCGAUGAGUAGGGCGGGACACGUGGUAUCCUGUCUGAAUAUGGGGGGACCAUCCUCCAAGGCUAAAUACUCCUGACUGACCGAUAGUGAACCAGUACCGUGAGGGAAAGGCGAAAAGAACCCCGGCGAGGGGAGUGAAAAAGAACCUGAAACCGUGUACGUACAAGCAGUGGGAGCACGCUUCGGCGUGUGACUGCGUACCUUUUGUAUAAUGGGUCAGCGACUUAUAUUCUGUAGCAAGGUUAACCGAAUAGGGGAGCCGAAGGGAAACCGAGUCUUAACUGGGCGUUAAGUUGCAGGGUAUAGACCCGAAACCCGGUGAUCUAGCCAUGGGCAGGUUGAAGGUUGGGUAACACUAACUGGAGGACCGAACCGACUAAUGUUGAAAAAUUAGCGGAUGACUUGUGGCUGGGGGUGAAAGGCCAAUCAAACCGGGAGAUAGCUGGUUCUCCCCGAAAGCUAUUUAGGUAGCGCCUCGUGAAUUCAUCUCCGGGGGUAGAGCACUGUUUCGGCAAGGGGGUCAUCCCGACUUACCAACCCGAUGCAAACUGCGAAUACCGGAGAAUGUUAUCACGGGAGACACACGGCGGGUGCUAACGUCCGUCGUGAAGAGGGAAACAACCCAGACCGCCAGCUAAGGUCCCAAAGUCAUGGUUAAGUGGGAAACGAUGUGGGAAGGCCCAGACAGCCAGGAUGUUGGCUUAGAAGCAGCCAUCAUUUAAAGAAAGCGUAAUAGCUCACUGGUCGAGUCGGCCUGCGCGGAAGAUGUAACGGGGCUAAACCAUGCACCGAAGCUGCGGCAGCGACGCUUAUGCGUUGUUGGGUAGGGGAGCGUUCUGUAAGCCUGUGAAGGUGUGCUGUGAGGCAUGCUGGAGGUAUCAGAAGUGCGAAUGCUGACAUAAGUAACGAUAAAGCGGGUGAAAAGCCCGCUCGCCGGAAGACCAAGGGUUCCUGUCCAACGUUAAUCGGGGCAGGGUGAGUCGACCCCUAAGGCGAGGCCGAAAGGCGUAGUCGAUGGGAAACAGGUUAAUAUUCCUGUACUUGGUGUUACUGCGAAGGGGGGACGGAGAAGGCUAUGUUGGCCGGGCGACGGUUGUCCCGGUUUAAGCGUGUAGGCUGGUUUUCCAGGCAAAUCCGGAAAAUCAAGGCUGAGGCGUGAUGACGAGGCACUACGGUGCUGAAGCAACAAAUGCCCUGCUUCCAGGAAAAGCCUCUAAGCAUCAGGUAACAUCAAAUCGUACCCCAAACCGACACAGGUGGUCAGGUAGAGAAUACCAAGGCGCUUGAGAGAACUCGGGUGAAGGAACUAGGCAAAAUGGUGCCGUAACUUCGGGAGAAGGCACGCUGAUAUGUAGGUGAAGNUGGAGCUGAAAUCAGUCGAAGAUACCAGCUGGCUGCAACUGUUUAUUAAAAACACAGCACUGUGCAAACACGAAAGUGGACGUAUACGGUGUGACGCCUGCCCGGUGCCGGAAGGUUAAUUGAUGGGGUUAGCGGUAACGCGAAGCUCUUGAUCGAAGCCCCGGUAAACGGCGGCCGUAACUAUAACGGUCCUAAGGUAGCGAAAUUCCUUGUCGGGUAAGUUCCGACCUGCACGAAUGGCGUAAUGAUGGCCAGGCUGUCUCCACCCGAGACUCAGUGAAAUUGAACUCGCUGUGAAGAUGCAGUGUACCCGCGGCAAGACGGAAAGACCCCGUGAACCUUUACUAUAGCUUGACACUGAACAUUGAGCCUUGAUGUGUAGGAUAGGUGGGAGGCUUUGAAGUGUGGACGCCAGUCUGCAUGGAGCCGACCUUGAAAUACCACCCUUUAAUGUUUGAUGUUCUAACGUNAUCCGGGUUGCGGACAGUGUCUGGUGGGUAGUUUGACUGGGGCGGUCUCCUCCUAAAGAGUAACGGAGGAGCACGAAGGUUGGCUAAUCCUGGUCGGACAUCAGGAGGUUAGUGCAAUGGCAUAAGCCAGCUUGACUGCGAGCGUGACGGCGCGAGCAGGUGCGAAAGCAGGUCAUAGUGAUCCGGUGGUUCUGAAUGGAAGGGCCAUCGCUCAACGGAUAAAAGGUACUCCGGGGAUAACAGGCUGAUACCGCCCAAGAGUUCAUAUCGACGGCGGUGUUUGGCACCUCGAUGUCGGCUCAUCACAUCCUGGGGCUGAAGUAGGUCCCAAGGGUAUGGCUGUUCGCCAUUUAAAGUGGUACGCGAGCUGGGUUUAGAACGUCGUGAGACAGUUCGGUCCCUAUCUGCCGUGGGCGCUGGAGAACUGAGGGGGGCUGCUCCUAGUACGAGAGGACCGGAGUGGACGCAUCACUGGUGUUCGGGUUGUCAUGCCAAUGGCACUGCCCGGUAGCUAAAUGCGGAAGAGAUAAGUGCUGAAAGCAUCUAAGCACGAAACUUGCCCCGAGAUGAGUUCUCCCUGACUCCUUGAGAGUCCUGAAGGAACGUUGAAGACGACGACGUUGAUAGGCCGGGUGUGUAAGCGCAGCGAUGCGUUGAGCUAACCGGUACUAAUGAACCGUGAGGCUUAACCUU
rnacentral:rRNA from 1 species